rnacentral:rRNA from 1 species
GAGUUUGAUCGUGGCUCAGGACGAACGCUGGCGGCGUGGAUUAGGCAUGCAAGUCGCGCGACGGACCUUCGGGUUACGGAGCGGCGAACGGGUGAGUAACACGUGAACAAUCUGUCCCUACAUUCCGGAUAAUUGGCCGAAAGGCCUUGUAAUACGGGCGAGGAUGGUGGUGAGGCAUCUCACUAUCAGGGAAGGUGCAACGCAAGUUGUGCCGUGCAGGGAGGGGUUCGCGGCCUAUCAGUUAGUUGGUGGGGUAACGGCCUACCAAGACGACGACGGGUAGCUGGUCUGAGAGGAUGGUCAGCCACAUUGGAACUGAGACACUGUCCAGACUCCUACGGGAGGCUGCAGUCGAGAAUCUUGGGCAAUGCACGAAAGUGUGACCCAGCGACGCCGCGUGGAGGAUGAAGGCCCUUGGGUUGUAAACUCCUUUUAUGGAAGAAGAACGUCCCUUCGGGGACUUGACGGUACUCCAUGAAUAAGCCACGGCUAACUACGUGCCAGCCGCCGCAGUAAG